rnacentral:rRNA from 1 species
CACCCAACAGCUAGCCCCCUUCAAAAUACAACAAAAAAUUAUUUAUACCCCCUCAACCCCUUAACCAACACAACAAAUCAUUUUUCCCCCUUAGUAUAGGAGAUAGAAAAGGACAUAUUGGAGCAAUAGACUUAGUACCGCAAGGGAACGCUGAAAGAGAAAUGAAAAAACCCAGUUAAGUAAAACAAAGCAGAGAUUACACCUCGUACCUUUUGCAUCAUGAGUUAGCCAGAAAAACUUGGGCAAAAAGAAUUUUAGUCCAAUUCCCCGAAACUAGAUGAGCUACUCCAAGACAGCCUACAUUAGGGCACACCCGUCUCUGUGGCAAAAGAGUGGGAAGAGCUUUGAGUAGAGGUGACAAACCUACCGAAUCUAGUUAUAGCUGGUUGCCCGAGAACCGAGUCUAAGCUCAGCUUUUUGACUUCUCAACUCAACAAUACACCACAGACAUUCAGAGAAAACAAAAAAGUUAGUCAAAAGGGGUACAGCCCUUUUGACCAAAAAUACAAUUUUUACAGGAGGAUAAAGAUCAUAAUUUUUAAGGAAAUGUGACUAAGUUGGCUUAGAAGCAGCCACCCUUUCAGAAAGCGUUAAAGCUCAAACACUACUCCCCCUAUUAUUCUGAUAACCUCUCUUAACCCCUGUACUAACCUAUCGGGCUUUUCUAUGCAGACAUAGAAGAAAUUAUGCUAAUAUGAGUAAUAAGGGGGCCGACCCCCUCCAAGCACAAGUGUACACCGGAACGAACCCCCACCGAAACUCAACGGACCCAAUCAAAGAGAGCACUGGGCAACUAACCUAGAUACAAGAAAACCGCCCACUACCAUUCCGUUAACCCCACACUGGUGUGCUAAAAAGGAAAGACAACAGAAAAGAGAAGGAACUCGGCAAACAAUAAAAGCCUCGCCUGUUUACCAAAAACAUCGCCUCUUGCUACAACUAAGAAUAAGAGGUCUUGCCUGCCCUGUGACCAUGUGUUUAACGGCCGCGGUAUUUUGACCGUGCAAAGGUAGCGCAAUCACUUGUCCUUUAAAUGUGGACCUGUAUGAAUGGCAUGACGAGGGCUUAACUGUCUCCUCUUUUUAGUCAAUGAACUUGAUCUUCCCGUGCAGAAGCGGGAAUAGGACCAUAAGACGAGAAGACCCUAUGGAGCUUUAGACGCAAAGCAGACCCUGUCAAAGCCCUGAAAUAACAGCACCAAACUAAGGGAGACCUGCUUGAAUGUUUUUGGUUGGGGCGACCGCGGGGUACCAAAAAACCCCCAUGUGGAGUGAAAGAACACUUUUAAAACUAAGAGCCACCACUCUAAGUAGCAAAACUUUUGACCAGUAUAUGAUCCGGCUGCGGCCGAUUAACGAACCGAGUUACCCUAGGGAUAACAGCGCAAUCCUCUUUAAGAGCCCAUAUCGACAAGAGGGUUUACGACCUCGAUGUUGGAUCAGGACAUCCUAAUGGUGCAACCGCUAUUAAGGGUUCGUUUGUUCAACGAUUAAAGUCCUACGUGAUCUGAGUUCAGACCGGAGUAAUCCAGGUCAGUUUCUAUCUAUGAAGCGAUCUUUUCUAGUACGAAAGGACCGAAAAGAAAAGGCCCAUGCUAACAGCAAGCCUCCCUCUCACCUGCUGAAAUCAACUCAAACAGGUAAAAGAGCGCAUAAACAAGUUGAAGAAAAUAACAACAC